rnacentral:tRNA from 1 species
GGCCUCGUAGCUCAAUAGGCUAGGGCGCUGGGCCAGCCAUACCCUUGCUGGCAUGGGUUCGAAUCCAACCGAGGCCA